rnacentral:rRNA from 1 species
UACGGAGGGUGCAAGCAUUAAUCGGAUUUACUGGGCGUAAAGGGCGCGUAGGCGGAAUAGUAAGUCAUUAGGUGAAAUUCCAAGGCUCAACCUUGGAGCUGCCUGUGAAACUACUGAACUAGAGCUAAGACGGAGAAAACGGAAUUCCACGUGUAGCGGUGAAAUGCGUAGAUAUGUGGAAGAACACCGGUGGCGAAAGCGGUUUUCUAGUUUUAAGCUGACGCUGAGGCGCGAAAGUGAGGGGAGCAAACAGGAUUAGAUACCCUGGUAGUCCUCACUGUAAACGUUGCAUACUUGAUGGAGUUGGGCUCAACCCCAGCUGUGUCGGAGCUAACGCGAUAAGUAUGCCGCCUGAGGAGUACGGCCGCAAGGUUGAAACUCAAAAGAAUUGACGGGGGCCCGCACAAGUAGUGGAGCAUGUGGUUUAAUUCGAUGCAACGCGAAGAACCUUACCCAGGCUUGACAUGCAGAUUAAUAUAUCAGAGAUGAUAUAGCCUUCGGGGAUCUGUACAGGUGCUGCAUGGCUGUCGUCAGCUCGUGCCGUGAGGUGUUGGGUUAAGUCCCGCAACGAGCGCAACCCUUAUUGUUAGUUGCCAGCGAGUAAAGUCGGGGACUCUAGCAAGACUGCCUAGGUUAACUAGGAGGAAGGUGAGGAUGACGUCAAGUCAGCAUGGCCCUUAUGUCUGGGGCUACACACGUGCUACAAUGGUCGGUACAAAGGGCAGCCAAACCGCGAAGUGGAGCAAAUCCCAGAAAGCCGAUCUCAGUUCGGAUUGUAGUCUGCAAUUUGACUACAUGAAGCUGGAAUUACUAGUAAUGGCGUGUCAGCAAUAACGCCGUGAAUACGUUCUCGGGCCU